UUCUGCAACAGGGAGGAAAAUGGCCACCCGUGAAAGACAACUGCUGAGGGGAAAAUCGUGUUUUGUUGAUCUCCUGAUCAGAAAAGCAAUCCAUAUGGUGGUUAAAGGUUUGUCCAAGAUGAGGAUUCUCAAAUAUUACAUUCUAAGCACCUGCUUGAAAUAAUGACCAACUAAUGCACUUUUUGGACAACUUUGUAUAGAUCAAAUAAAGGAAGAGCGAAAUAAGGAGGCUACUUUUCUUAUUUCAGCCUUCAAGGUGAAGAAGUGGAUAAAGAAUCUAAACUGACACCUUAUGGUGAAAAAAUUAGUCAAGGUAUGUGGUGAUGGAAAUAUCACAAUUAGCCUGGCACUAUUGUCUUUGAGCUACUGGAAGAUGAUCAAUGUGGUUCUUUACAAACUAAAAUUGAAGGAUAUAGCAGUCCAGAUGCC